rnacentral:rRNA from 1 species
GCCUAUCAUGCAAGUCGAACGCUUUCUUUUUCCACCGGAGCUUGCUCCACCGGAAAAAAGANGAGUGGCGAACGGGUGAGUAACACGUGGGUAACCUGCCCAUCAGAAGGGGAUAACACUUGGAAACAGGUGCUAAUACCGUAUAACAAUCNAAACCGCAUGGUUUUGAUUUGAAAGGCGCUUUCGGGUGUCGCUGAUGGAUGGACCCGCGGUGCAUUAGCUAGUUGGUGAGGUAACGGCUCACCAAGGCCACGAUGCAUAGCCGACCUGAGAGGGUGAUCGGCCACAUUGGGACUGAGACACGGCCCAAACUCCUACGGGAGGCAGCAGUAGGGAAUCUUCGGCAAUGGACGAAAGUCUGACCGAGCAACGCCGCGUGAGUGAAGAAGGUUUUCGGAUCGUAAAACUCUGUUGUUAGAGAAGAACAAGGAUGAGAGUAACUGUUCAUCCCUUGACGGUAUCUAACCAGAAAGCCACGGCUAACUACGUGCCAGCAGCCGCGGUAAUACGUAGGUGGCAAGCGUUGUCCGGAUUUAUUGGGCGUAAAGCGAGCGCAGGCGGUUUCUUAAGUCUGAUGUGAAAGCCCCCGGCUCAACCGGGGAGGGUCAUUGGAAACUGGGAGACUUGAGUGCAGAAGAGCCUAUCAUGCAAGUCGAACGCUUUCUUUUUCCACCGGAGCUUGCUCCACCGGAAAAAAGANGAGUGGCGAACGGGUGAGUAACACGUGGGUAACCUGCCCAUCAGAAGGGGAUAACACUUGGAAACAGGUGCUAAUACCGUAUAACAAUCNAAACCGCAUGGUUUUGAUUUGAAAGGCGCUUUCGGGUGUCGCUGAUGGAUGGACCCGCGGUGCAUUAGCUAGUUGGUGAGGUAACGGCUCACCAAGGCCACGAUGCAUAGCCGACCUGAGAGGGUGAUCGGCCACAUUGGGACUGAGACACGGCCCAAACUCCUACGGGAGGCAGCAGUAGGGAAUCUUCGGCAAUGGACGAAAGUCUGACCGAGCAACGCCGCGUGAGUGAAGAAGGUUUUCGGAUCGUAAAACUCUGUUGUUAGAGAAGAACAAGGAUGAGAGUAACUGUUCAUCCCUUGACGGUAUCUAACCAGAAAGCCACGGCUAACUACGUGCCAGCAGCCGCGGUAAUACGUAGGUGGCAAGCGUUGUCCGGAUUUAUUGGGCGUAAAGCGAGCGCAGGCGGUUUCUUAAGUCUGAUGUGAAAGCCCCCGGCUCAACCGGGGAGGGUCAUUGGAAACUGGGAGACUUGAGUGCAGAAGAGCCUAUCAUGCAAGUCGAACGCUUUCUUUUUCCACCGGAGCUUGCUCCACCGGAAAAAAGANGAGUGGCGAACGGGUGAGUAACACGUGGGUAACCUGCCCAUCAGAAGGGGAUAACACUUGGAAACAGGUGCUAAUACCGUAUAACAAUCNAAACCGCAUGGUUUUGAUUUGAAAGGCGCUUUCGGGUGUCGCUGAUGGAUGGACCCGCGGUGCAUUAGCUAGUUGGUGAGGUAACGGCUCACCAAGGCCACGAUGCAUAGCCGACCUGAGAGGGUGAUCGGCCACAUUGGGACUGAGACACGGCCCAAACUCCUACGGGAGGCAGCAGUAGGGAAUCUUCGGCAAUGGACGAAAGUCUGACCGAGCAACGCCGCGUGAGUGAAGAAGGUUUUCGGAUCGUAAAACUCUGUUGUUAGAGAAGAACAAGGAUGAGAGUAACUGUUCAUCCCUUGACGGUAUCUAACCAGAAAGCCACGGCUAACUACGUGCCAGCAGCCGCGGUAAUACGUAGGUGGCAAGCGUUGUCCGGAUUUAUUGGGCGUAAAGCGAGCGCAGGCGGUUUCUUAAGUCUGAUGUGAAAGCCCCCGGCUCAACCGGGGAGGGUCAUUGGAAACUGGGAGACUUGAGUGCAGAAGA